rnacentral:tRNA from 1 species
GGGCGAUUAGCUCAGCCGGCAGAGCGCUUCCUUCACACGGAAGAGGUCACUGGUUCAAGUCCAGUAUCGCCCACCA